GUGCUUGUAGCUCAAUUGGAUAGAGCACCAGACUACGAAUUUGGGGGUUGGGAGUUCAAAUCUUUCCAAGCAUG
rnacentral:tRNA from 1 species